rnacentral:rRNA from 1 species
AGAUGUCGGCGGAAACCAUCUGACUAGAGUCCGGAAGAGGAAAGUGGAAUUCCUGGUGUAGCGGUGAAAUGCGCAGAUAUCAGGAAGAACACCCGUGGCGAAGGCGGCUUUCUGGGACGGUACUGACGCUGAGACGCGAAAGCGUGGGGAGCGAACAGGAUUAGAUACCCUGGUAGUCCACGCUGUAAACGAUGGGUGCUAGGUGUGGGCGGUGUCGACUCCGUCCGUGCCGAAGCUAACGCAUUAAGCACCCCGCCUGGGGAGUACGGCCGCAAGGCUAAAACUCAAAGGAAUUGACGGGGGCCCGCACAAGCAGCGGGGCAUGUGGUUCAAUUCGAUGCGACGCGAAGAACCUUACCAGGGCUUGACAUGCACAGGAAUGUCGUAGAAAUACGGCAGCCCUUCGGGGCCUGUGCACAGGUGGUGCAUGGCUGUCGUCAGCUCGUGUAGUGAGAUGUUGGGUGAAGUCGCGGAACGAACGAAAUGCAUGUCCAUGUGGCAGCGAUUCGGUCGGGGACUCAUGGGAGACUGCCGUUGACAAAUCGGAGGAAGCUGGGGAUGACGUCAAGUCAUCAUGCCCCUUACGCCCUGGGCUACACACGUGCUACAUUGGCCGGUACAAAGGGUCUGCAAACCCGCGAGGGGGAGCGAAUCCCAAAAAGCCGUUCCCGGUUCGGAUUGGAGUCUGACACUCGCCUCCAUGAAGGUGGAGUUGUUAGUAAUCGCGGAUCAGCAACGCCGCGGUGAAUGCGUUCUCGGGCCUUGUACACACCGCCCGUCACACCACGGAAGCCGGUAACACCCGAAGCCGGUGUUCUAA